UACAGAGGGGGCAAGCUUUAUUCGGAAUUAUUGGGCGUAAAGGGCACGUAGGCGGCUUGGCAAGUGGAUGGUGAAAUCCCUCGGCUUAACCGAGGAACUGCCGUCCAAACUGCUUCGCUUGAGACCGGGAGAGGUGAGUGGAAUUCCCAGUGUAGCGGUGAAAUGCGUAGAUAUUGGGAAGAACACCGGUGGCGAAGGCGGCCAUCUGGACCGGCACUGACGCUGAGGCGCGAAAGCGUGGGGAGCAAACAGG
rnacentral:rRNA from 1 species